rnacentral:rRNA from 1 species
UACAGAGGGGGCAAGCGUUAUUCGGAAUUAUUGGGCGUAAAGGGCGCGUAGGCGGCUUGGCAAGUGGAAGGUGAAAUCCCUCGGCUUAACCGAGGAACUGCCUUCCAAACUGCCUGGCUUGAGACCGGGAGAGGUGAGUGGAAUUCCCAGUGUAGCGGUGAAAUGCGUAGAUAUUGGGAGGAACACCAGUGGCGAAGUCGGCUCACUGGACCGGUACUGACGCUGAUGCGCGAAAGCGUGGGGAGCAAACGGG